GAUGAAGAACGCAGCGAAAUGCGAUAAGUAAUGUGAAUUGCAGAAUUCAGUGAAUCAUCGAACCUUUGAACGCACAUUGCGCCCGCUAGUAUUCUGGCGGGCAUGCCUGUCCGAGCGUCAUUUCAACCCUCAAGCCCCCGGGCUUGGUGUUGGGGAUCGGCGAGCCUCCGCGCCCGCCGUCCCCUAAAUCUAGUGGCGGUCUCGCUGUAGCUUCCUCUGCGUAGUAGCACACCUCGCACUGGGAAACAGCGCGGCCACGCCGUUAAACCCCCAACUUCUGAACGUUUGACCUCGGAUCAGGUAGGAAUACCCGCUGAACUUAAGCAUAUCAAUAAGCGGAGGA
rnacentral:misc_RNA from 1 species